GGCCAGAUAGCUCAGUGGUUAGGGCACCUGGCAUAUAUCUGGGGGCAGUGGGGGGGCCUGGGUUCGAAUCUCAGUCCGAUCA